rnacentral:rRNA from 1 species
AUUGAACGCUGGCGGCAGGCUUAACACAUGCAAGUCGAGCAGGGGAAGGUAGCUUGCUACUGGACAUAGCGGCGGACGGGUGAGUAAUGCUUAGGAAUCUGCCUAUUAGUGGGGGACAACAUCUAGAAAGGGAUGCUAAUACCGCAUACGUCCUACGGGAGAAAGCAGGGGAUCUUCGGACCUUGCGCUAAUAGAUGAGCCUAGGUAGGAUUGGCUGGUUGGUGGGGUAAAGGCCUACCAAGGCGACGAUCUGUAGCGGGUCUGAGAGGAUGAUCCGCCACACUGGGACUGAGACACGGCCCAGACUCCUACGGGAGGCAGCAGUGGGGAAUAUUGGACAAUGGGGGGAACCCUGAUCCAGCCAUGCCGCGUGUGUGAAGAAGGCCUUAUGGUUAUAAAGCACUUUAAGCGAGGAGGAGGCUACUCUAGUUAAUACCUAGGGAUAGUGGACGUUACUCGCAGAAUAAGCACCGGCUAACUCUGUGCCAGCAGCCGCCGUAA